AGGAAAGCCGUCGGGGUGGCCCCCAGCUGCUCACCACGUACCCUAAGCCUCUGUGCAAGACCCGGCCUUCGAAACUCCCUGAAGAGUGUUCCACACCUCAGAUGGCAGCCCUGAGCAAAGACCGUGGGAGGGGCCCUGCCAGAGAUCCUGUGCGUUCAGGCACCGGCCCAGCACACCUCCCUUACUAGGGUUUCGGGCUGACGGGGACAAUCCCAUAGCUGUAACAGGCUGCGGAGGGCAGCCCUGGGCUGCAGGGAACACACGGAACCAAGGGCCCCCGGGAGACACCACUGUCCCUGUUGCUCGGCUGGCUCAGGCACCUGCAAGGCACCGGGUUCAGCUCGUUGGUGAGUCCUGUUUUCUCCACCGGGAUGUGGGCCAAGACAACUAACUCCCUUCCUAGGAGAGGUUCCCUGGCUCCACAGGAGCGCUGACCGCAGGUUCCAGCCGGCCGGCUCUGUCACAACCAACCUCACUUCUUCAACAAACAGCCACCCGCAGCCACCGGCUCCAGGCCCGGGCCACAGACGGGCAUUCAGAGGUGCGGCUCCCGUGGGUGGGGGGUCGGGGGGCAGGCCGGCUGCAUCUGCCACGGAGGCCCAGCUCGGGUGCAGGAGGAGCCCUCCCUGGGCCCCAGGCCAUCACCUGGCAACAGGUACAGUAACUCUCGUCACCUGCCUCCGCACACCCAAGCGGGAUCAGGCUGCUCACGGCAGGGCGCAGAAGCACAGGCCGGCACCAAUGCUGAACCACCAGACGUUUGGCCGCGCAGGAGGGCCCCCACCCUGUCCCUUUGGUCUGUCUGCUCUGUCACCCAGGCUGCGGCACGGGCCCGGGGUGGGCUCAGGAGACAGGCAGCGCGGGGCGGCCGGGGGCGCAGAACCGGAGUCCAACAGGAUGCCCAGCUUCAGAUUACCAGCGAGUCCGUCCAGACUGUCGCCACCCAAACCGGAUUCUGACACACGGCAUCGACUCCAGCUGCCCUGAGCCACACACCUAGUUCCACUUGCACACACACAGCAGUCGGGACGGAUCCACUGACCACGCACACAGCGUGUAAGUUAAGUAAGUAAGUAAAUAAAUAAGUAAGUAAUUCAAUCAAUCAAUCAGGCCUCAGCCUGGGCCAGCUGUUCACCCCAAACAGGAGUAACAACAAGGUGCCCAAACCUUGGAAGCAUCGGUGUCCCAGGCUGGAUGGGUGGUGGUACCUUAGGACUUCACAGUUAAGGGACUUGGGGCAAGUCUCCUUUCCUGUGCCUCAGUUUCUUCAUCUGUACUAUGAAAACAUAAGAGGCCCUGUCCCGGGCUCACUGUGGAAAUGAACUGAGCUAUGGAGCCUAAACAGCUGAGGACCAGAGCCUGGCCCCCAGAGCACCACGUGAGCACGGCAGGGCCCAGGGCGUGCUUGGUCCAGUACGAGUCUUCUCUCCCCAACCGGAAGGUAACUGAAAGGUAAGCCGGCCUCCUUGCCUCUAGCUUCCCCUCGUCUUGAACACACGCCCAGCCAUGACUGCAUUUCUCACCAUGCACUCUUUGCUGCCCUGUGUCACCAGUCCACUCUCUCAUCGCAGCCUGCUGGGCGCCCACACCACUCCAGACUCUGGGCUAGGCACCCAAGAUGCAAGGGUGACCAAGACGGAGGUCCCUAUGCCCCAGGGGCUCUCAGCCACGUGUGCGAGAUAAACACACACACACACACACACACACACACGGAUCACUUCAGUGCAGCAGAGAAGGCAAGCUAAGCACCAGGGCCCAGGGCCACGAGCCUGUGGGUGAACCUCAUCCAGGGGAGGCAGGGGACAGGAAGGUUCCAAAGGGGAUAUCAGGAACACUAGGGCAUUCCAAGCAGAGGACCUAACUGUCAUGUCGGUGAAAAAACGACGUGGGAUGCAGGAAACAAAGCAUCCGAACUGGCUGGGUACCUGAAGCAGGCCGUGGAAGAUGUGACUGGAGGGACAGGCAGCAGCCACACCCCGACCUUCACCCUGCAGGCUGCAGGGAGCUGGAGAAGGGGCUUAAGGACGCCUGCCUGCCUGUGACCCAGCAGACAGCAGCUCCUGUGGCCAGGCACCCAUCUCACCCGCACAGGGAAGUCAUCUGGACACAGGGCAGCCAGGCCAACGGAGAACAGAUGUGGAGGUGGCCCGACCAAAGCGCCACUCUUCCAGGAAGCCUUCUCGGAUCUGCCCAUCUCCCACAGCCGCCUGCAAUGGCGACUUGGCUCCUGAUCCCGUGCUGUCCUGGGCAGGCAUUUGCUGCACCAGAUUUCUACCGAGGACCCAGCACAGGAGAAGCUGAACCUCACCAGAGUACCCUCUUAAACAGGCUGGACACUG